UUCCGGUUGAUCCUGCCGGACCCGACUGCUAUCAGAGUGAGAUUAAGCCAUGCGAGUUAACGUAGCAAUACGUGGCGCACGGCUCAGUAACACGUAGUCAACAUGCCCAGAGGACGUGGAUAACCUCGGGAAACUGAGUCUAAACCGCGAUAAGUGAGGAUUUCUGGAAUGGUUCCUGACUAAAAUCUAUAUGGCCUCUGGAUUGGACUGCGGCCGAUCAGGCUGUUGGUGAGGUAAUGGCCCACCAAACCUGUAACCGGUACGGGCUCUGAGAGGAGGAGCCCGGAGAUGGGCACUGAGACAAGGGCCCAGGCCCUAUGGGGCGCAGCAGGCGCGAAACCUCUGCAAUAGGCGAAAGCCUGACAGGGUUACUCUGAGUGACUUUCGCUAAGAAAGUCUUUUGGCACCUCUAAAAAGGGUGCAGAAUAAGGGGUGGGCAAGUCUGGUGUCAGCCGCCGCGGUAAUACCAGCACCCCGAGUGGUCGGGACGAUUAUUGGGCCUAAAGCAUCCGUAGCCGGUUCUGCAAGUCCCCCGUUAAAUCCAGCUGCUCAACAGAAGGGCCGCGGAGGAUACAACAGAGCUAGGAGGCAGGAGAGGCAAGCGGUACUCAGUGGGUAGGGGUAAAAUCCGUUGAUCCAUUGAAGACCACCAGUGGCGAAGGCGGCUUGCCAGAAUGCGCUCGACGGUGAGGGAUGAAAGCUGGGGGAGCAAACCGGAUUAGAUACCCGGGUAGUCCCAG
rnacentral:rRNA from 1 species